GUUACCAGAACUUGCCUAUUGUGAGGAAUAGUUACUUUUAAGUCGAUUGUAUUUGGAUUCUGUCUGGGUGAUUCUGGAAACCCCAGUUGUUUCUGUGUCUGAAUGAGUUACUUUUUCAGUUUAUUUGCCUCCUCUUUGUGAUUUUAAAAUAUUUAAAUCGUUUUCUAAAAUCUGGGAUAGAUGGGCAGCCGAAGAUCAUGUGCUUCGUGAUACCGAUGAAAAUCGUAGAUUACAGCGUAAAUUGGCAAGAAAAGCUGUAGCUCGCCUGAGGAGCACAGGAAGAAAGAAGAAGCGCUGCAGGUUGCCUGGUGUUGACUCUGUCUUAAAAGGCCUCCCCACUGAAGAAAAAGAUGAAAAUGAUGAAAACUCAUUAAGCAGUUCCUCUGACUGUAGUGAAAACAAGGAUGAAGAAAUAAGUGAAGAAAGUGAUAUUGAAGAAAAGACUGAAGUG
rnacentral:sRNA from 1 species